CAGGAGGUAGCAGCACCACUGCUGCUGCACCGAGCACCACCCGAGUAUAGUAGAUCACCAUCACCUUGCUGCAAACAUCCAUGUCUAUUUGCUUCUGUAUGCGUCUCGUUCGCCCUUAAUUUGCAAGAUUUCAGCUAUUUCUUUUGCCAUUUGGUUCUUAAUUAGUAUCCUUCUUGCUCUUUAGCAAUAGCUAGCAGCUCUAUCUCCUCAUCAUUUUCACUCUUGAUUGCUUCUUCACUUAAACUUGGGUCUUUUUAGUUUCUUUUUUUUUUUACUUAUCUUGUUGCUAAAUUACCUAGCUAGCUAGGUCAGUGAGUAUAUAUAUAUGUGGCAAUCGGCAAACUGGUAAUUGGGAGUAAUAAGAUAGGGAAAUGAGCUAAUUGUCAUAGCACUACUGUUCCUCAUCUCCCAUAUAUACAUACUACCCAUGAUGAGAUGAAAGCAAUACUUGAG
rnacentral:lncRNA from 1 species